rnacentral:rRNA from 1 species
UACGGAGGGUGCAAGCGUUGUUCGGAUUUAUUGGGUUUAAAGGGUGCGUAGGCGGCCCGUUAAGUCAGUGGUGAAAGCCUCCAGCUCAACUGGAGAACUGCCAUUGAUACUGACGGGCUUGAGUACAGACGAGGUUGGCGGAAUUGAUUGUGUAGCGGUGAAAUGCAUAGAUACAAUCAAGAACUCCGAUUGCGUAGGCAGCUAACUAGGCUGUAACUGACGCUGAGGCACGAAAGCGUGGGGAGCGAACAGG